GGAAAGCCCAGACGGCAAGGGAUGGGGUCGCGGCCCAUUAGGUAGACGGCGGGGUAACGGCCCACCGUGCCCGCGAUGGGUAGCCGGGUUGAGAGACCGAUCGGCCACAUUGGGACUGAGAUACGGCCCAGACUCCUACGGGAGGCAGCAGUGGGGAAUUCGGCGCAAUGGGGGAAACCCUGACGCAGCAACGCCGCGUGCGGGACGAAGGCCUUCGGGUUGUAAACCGCUUUCAGCAGGGAAUAUAGUGAAGGUACCUGCAGAAGAAGCUCCGGCUAACUACGUGCCAGCAGCCGCGGUAAUACGUAGGGAGCGAGCGUUAUCCGGAUUCAUUGGGCGUAAAGCGCACGUAGGCGGCCCGUCAAGCGGGGUUUCAAAUCCAGGGGCUCAACCUCUGGCCGGACCCCGAACUGGCGGGCUCGAGUGCGGUAGAGGAAGGUGGAAUUCCCAGUGUAGCGGUGAAAUGCGCAGAUAUUGGGAAGAACACCGAUGGCGAAGGCAGCCUUCUGGGCCGCCACUGACGCUGAGGCGCGAAAGCUAGGGGAGCGAACAGGAUUAGAUACCCUGGUAGUCCUAGCCGUAAACGAUGAACGCUAGGUGUGGGGGAGCAUCUCCUCCGUGCC
rnacentral:rRNA from 1 species